CGCUGUCAUUUAAUACAGCUUUGCUUCUGUUUAUUUUAUUCUUUUAAUGAUGUGCGCUAAGGGCCAAGGCAAUGUACAGCCCUCCCGUGCUUUUCAGCCUCAGAUUUCCAGAUGUGGGCAAGUGUGCCCUCUUUCUAGGCCUUCUUGACCUCAGCACCCUUUCUUUUUGGCUGGAUCCGUCAUGGGAGGAUGGAGCUGGCCUGCGCCUUGUAGGGUGUUGAGCGAUGUCCCUGGCCAUGAGAUGCCCGUUACCGCCUGAGUUGUGACAACCAAAACUGUCACCACACAUUGCAGAUUCCCUUGGGGAGAAAGGCGGGGGCCCAGGCAGAGUCCUUAGAGUUGAGAAUCACGGUGGCAUGGCCAUGCCUUUAUGGCCACAACUUAAAUUUGGAUCCUGCCAGAACUUUCUUUACCCUUCCUCAUUUCAUACCACUUCCUAAUUGCUUUCCAUCUCUUUGGGUGAUGGAGACCAUACAUUUCUCAGUGUUGAAUUUUUUUUCUCUUUAGGAUCCACGCUCUCCUUGUUAGACUUGGAUGCUUAGACUCGGUUUAUCAUUUAAAUUGCGUUGUUCUUUCUAGUUGGAAUAUUCAUAUGCAGCUCUCCCCUCUGCCCAAAGGCAUUUGUUGGUCUCCCUUCUGGUAUUUCCCCCUCAUAUUCCCAAAAUCCACUCCCUAGAGCAUUAGAGAACUGUUUAUUAUACCGAGUAAUUAAAGUGACACUUGUUCUCUGCUAGGAAAGAAGGAGGUCGUAUUUUCUGAAACUCUGCUUUUUUUUUUUUUUUUUUUUUUUUUUUUGGUCUUUUGUCUUUUUAGGACCGCACACGUGUCAUAUGGAGGUUCCCAGGCUAGGGGUUGAAUCGGAACUACAGCUGCUGGCCUACACCACAGCCACAGCAAUGCAGGAUCCGAGUCAUGUCUUUGACAGACACCACAGCUCACAGCAACACCGGAUCCCUAACCCACUGAGCAAGGCCAGGGAUUGAACCCACAACCUCAUGGUUACUAGUUAGGUUCAUUAACCACUGAGCCACGACAGGAACGCCAAGCUUUGCUUUUUAAUUUUAUUUUUUAUUUUUUUCAAUAUAGACUGAGCUGUUGCCAAAAUAGCACUGAGAGGUCCUGUGUACCUGUCACCCAGCUUCCCUGGUGGUGACAUCUUAUAUAAGGGUGGAUAAUUACAGUAUCAAAACCAAGAAGUUGGUACUGGAGCAAUUACAGCCCUCAUUCAGAUUUCCACAUCCAUUCAUCUGUGUGCAUGAGCACGUGGUUCUAAGCAAUGUUAUGACAGUAUAGAUGCAUGCAGCCACCAGCACAGCCAUGCUACAGAACUCUCCAUGCUUCCUGCCUCUCCCCAGUCCUUAGUAACCACUCAUCUGUUCUUCUCUAAGAUCUUGUCAUUUGAGACUGUUAUGUAAGUGGAAGCAGCGUGUAAAUCUGAGAUGGGCAUUUCUCACUCCUGUGAGACUCCCCCAGGUUCUGUGCAUUGGUACUGUGUUGCAUUGUAUUUCCGUAGCAUUCCAGUGUACUGGUCUCCUUUAAUACCUGUGCGAACACCCAUUAUCAUUCUGAGGCCAGCAGUUAUUUGUGUAAUAAAUUACUCUUGGUUUUGUCCCCUGGCUGCUGAGAGCUCAGAUUCACCUGGCCUUCCUUGUUUACUUCUUGUAGUGUAUUUCUGUGCUGCUGUCAAAGAACUUUUUGAUUCGUGACUCUGUCUCAAGUAGUUUGAGGUUGAUUUGGUCAGCCCUGGUGCACUUGAACUCCUGCUCAUCAUCCUACCAAGCAGCGGAUUCCUACUCAUGGUCUCUUUCCCUGAGACAGAAGCUUCAUGCAAUCAAUGGCUUUUGCUGGCUAGGCUGUCGAGGUCACAGCCUUAGCAUAUGAUGGCCCCAGUGGACCAGCCAGGCGAGCAAAUGGAUGUUGGAGUUUGCUCUAGCGCAGACUUCUUGGACGCUGAACAAAAAUGUGACAACAUGUUCUGGCCAUCUAUCAGUAUCUUGGCAGGACCAGAUGGAAGGGGGUUUCUUUAAUGUAAGGCAAGAUGUCCAGGGCCCUUGAAACUGUCCCACUUGUCAGGCAUGUGGUGGUGGCUGCAGUGAGGGACCAUCUGGGUAGAUAGUGUGACUGGAGAAGCCGGAGCAGCCAAAGUCCAAAGGCGGGUGACCCUGCAAGCGGGGAAACGCCCUCACUCUGGUUCAGGGUCUUGCCUGUUUGGGAGGGAUGCCCAGUGGAGGUGAGCCUGAUAGAAAAGUGAGGGGACCAUUUCCCAGUUAUUUCUUACUGGACCUGGCUUCCUCUUUGCUACCUGCUUCUUACUGCUUCUGGUCCCAUGCUUUGGAGAAAGAGAGUUUAUUGGGCACAGGGGGGAAAAAACUUAGGUAAAUCCCAUGAGAAGGAACUCUCUUUACCUUUUCCAAUCCCCCGCCCCUGACAACUCCCAGGAUGGGCGGUCUGAACUCCCCUGAUACCAGCUGCCAGUUUUUGAGCCAACCCCCCACCCAGGACCCUAAUCUUGCUCCCCUUUCCUUCUGUAAUUAAAAUCAGCUGAGAGUGAGCACUAGGUCCUAGGGAGAUGCCUGGUGUUCUGCUCCAUCUAGGUUGUAUAUGAAAGUGUUUCUCCACGUAGGAAUUUUCUUUCUUUGUAACUCCUGCUUUAUAGGAAUAAAGUUCACCCACUCUUGUUUUUUUUUCCCACCAAGUAUGUUGUGAAGAGUGUGACUAGUGUUUCAGCAGCAAAUAGGUAAGCUGUUCCUUUUACGUGUAAAGGAGAAAUUUUUUAAAAAAUUUAAAUUGGUUUAUAUGAGAUUAACAUGUCAUAAGUAUGUAUGUACAUAUGUAUGCAUAUGUAUAAAUAUUUGUAAUACAUGCAUACACAUAUACAUGUAUAUGUUUGAUUUAGCAUCAUGGUUUCUGACUGAGGCAGGCACAGCUGUUGGUUUGGGGCGAAGUGCCUUACCAAGGCCAAGUUGCCUAAGGGUUUUGGUUCACAUCUAAUAGUUGUAUUGUUUGCUGUCCAGAAGCAGUCUUUGCCAGGUGGUAUUUUGAACUGCUUACAGUUUUCUAAGAAGAUAAAAGUUAGAAGGAGCCUCCCCACUGUCCUACACACUACUUGCCUUGUUAGGUUGGGGCUCAUCAGAAUGCUGCCUUGUUAAUCCCAGCUAUACUGUUUUCCAUAAGAUUUUCAUUCCUUUGGGGAUUCUCUCAAAAGUAGAUGCCAAGUUCAGCUUCAAGGAUAUGAAGUCAGGUGCAGACUGUAAAUUCUGGCAUUAAUUUUCAGGCCUUGAGAACCACUGAAAUUCUUGGAUGUGUCUCUUGGUAAUGUAGCUUUUUCAGCUGUAACAAUUUCCUUCUUGCCUUUGGGCAGAUUUGGUAGGUUAGCUUCCUGUGUUUUAGGUUCUAAAAUCACCUUCACUUAAGGUUCUCUCUGAAAAGGCCAGUGUGCCUUUUUUAUACAUAUUUAUAAGGUGGAAUCUCCUAUUUUUCAAUGUACCUAUCAGAAGCAAAAACAUAUGGGAGUUUCCAUUGUGGCUCAGCGGUAGCAAAUGUAGCUAGUAUCCAUGAGGAUGGGGGCUCGAUCCCUGGCUCUCUCAGUGGGUUAAGGAUCCGGCAUUGCCGUGAACUGUGGUGUAGCUUGCAGACGUGGCUCGGCUCUUGCAUUGCUCUGACUAUGGAUCAGGCCAGCAGCUGCAGCUCCAAUUCAACCUUAGCCUGGGAACUUCCU
rnacentral:lncRNA from 1 species